rnacentral:misc_RNA from 1 species
GAUGAAGAACGUAGCAAAAUGCGAUAAGUAAUGUGAAUUGCAGAAUUCAGUGAAUCAUCGAAUCUUUGAACGCACCUUGCACCCUUUGGCAUUCCGAAGGGUAUGCUCGUUUGAGUGUCAUUGUACUCUCACACUCUCCGAUCCUAUGGAUUCGGGGAGCGGUGGACUUGGGUGUUGCUGCCUUUCCUUGUGGCUCACCUCAAAUGUGUCAGUGCACCUCUUGGUUGGACAUAGUACGGCGUGAUAAGUGUCUUCGCCGGCACCUCGCAAGAGGGUGGCCGAUCGGGAGCUCUGUGCUUUCAAACCGUCUUCGGACAAUUUCUGACAACUUGACCUCAAAUCGAGUAGGACUACCCGCUGAACUUAAGCAUAUCAAUAAGCGGAGGA